AAAUGCCAAAAAAGUGCAAGUUCCUGAACAGGUACACGGCUGAGAGGUCCCACAUACUACGCAGUAGAUAAUUUCAGGAGUUAAAAUCUCUUCCAAAAGGACUUUUUGACAGUCAUAGGAAACCCCCUUCUAGGAAGCAUGCAGUCUUUAUUGGGAUAAGUGGAAAUUUGCUAAUGAUGAAUUUGAGAGUUUCAUCAUCAUCAAUCCUUCAGUUCUACGGAUUUGCCACAAAACUACAUUGCUUAUAAUAUCAGAAAAUACUUCAAAAUAAUCCAACGCCAGAACCAAAGAAACUGUAUUUAUAGAGAAUAAGUGUCCUGGUCGAUGGGUUCAGGAUUAUGGCAGCCCUACGCUACUGCAUCUGAGAGGAACAUUUUAAUGGCCAAUAAGCUGAUAAAAGUUGGUGUUGUGUGCUCGUUUAUGGCUGGAAUUCUCUGAUUCUCCCAAAACUGGCGAACAAAUCAUAACAAAAGCAGCGGCAUCAAUACAAAAGCAUAAUCUUUCUCCACUGGUGGUACCAAUAAAUCGCAGGACAUUCUCGAUAGCCUGAUAAAACCGUAAUGGUAAAGAGUGACCAUUUUCCUCUGGUCUCUGCGCGUGCGCUAACGAGGUCAUUUGGUGAGAUCGUAUGCGCUCAACAGCUCCUGUACGUCACAUUAUCAUGAGUAUCAUCGAUUCAAGAGCUACAUCUCGUUUCGAAAGAAAAAUAAAUAAAUAAAAGUAUAGAAAAUUUUAUUAUGGUCGGAGAGCAACAGCAUCAACAACUGAGUUGCUAGCUGAAUUUCAAAGGUUGCAUCUUAAUCGACUUAAAACAAUUGAAAAAUUAUUAUAUGAUUUUAUAAUGCAAGCUAAGGGUUGAGACUGUUUUUUUUUUUAAUUGCUAAAGUUUACGCAUUCACGUACAGGAUUUUCAAUUAGACAAAAUAGCAUCAUCGUCGAAUUUUCUAAAUCUUUUAGAGGCGUGGGUGGAUAAUGAGAAAGCUUUAAAUAUUCCUAGUAAUUCAAUUUAGAAGCCUAAUGACGAGAGCAGAAUAAAUCAUAACACACAUGAUGGAGCUCGU